GGGAGUGGGGGGAAAGCCUUGUGUUAACAGCGAAGCUGACCAGGUGUUUUUUGGCUUGCUAGAUGUGAGCUCUUCCAGGCUCGAAAACUUCCCCAAGGCCCUCUCUGCAGAACUAUUAUGUGGGGGUUUCAUUCUCAUGGAUGCUGACCUUACUCAUUCCCUUGCUGGGGGUGGAGGGUGGGUAGUAGGUCGAAGGGCCUAAGGCUCCCUCUCAGAAGGCUUCCUGUCCACUCAAACUUGCUCUUCCUUUGUUCCCCAGCUUCUCGCUGUGGCUGGGGAAGUUCUGAAGGACACUUGGCUCCUGCAAUCCAUCAAUGGUCCAGUGGGGGAAGGUGGGAGGUGUUUCCAGAUGAUACAAUACAGUAUUCUAGGUCCAGCAUCACUUUGCUGAUGCUGACAAUACCAGCUGACAAUACAAGUAAAAGAGCUGAGUAUAUGUACCUAAUUUCUGUGGGGAGCACCAUCAGACCAAUCACUCCACGCAGUGCGCUGAGAGAAAUCUUGGAAGUAGGACCACCUCAACGAUAUCAUGGCCGGUGAGAAGUAAUUUAACUUGGUCUGUCAUCUGCUCCACAACAAUAAUUCCCUUCUCUCACUGACUCCAAUGCCUAUUUCCAUGACUGUUCUAGAUUUAGAGGAGGCAACUUCUGGCGCUUAAUUUACUCUGCAUAAUCAGUACUUUCACAACUAUCA